CAACCCCAAGAGGCUUGCCUCUUGGGGUUGUAGGACACUCAACAACGGAGUGAUCAAGAAACGGAGUAGGUGAACUGUCUGGAAAGGCAGGCCGAAGAAGGUAACAGCCCUGUAGCUGAAACUUCGUUUCCUCCAGAGUGGAUCCUGAGUACGGCGGGACACGUGAAACCCCGUCGGAAUCCGGGAGGACCAUCUCCCAAGGCUAAAUACUCCCUAGUGACCGAUAGUGAACCAGUACCGUGAGGGAAAGGUGAAAAGCACCCCGGAAGGGGAGUGAAAGAGAUCCUGAAACCGUGUGCCUACAACUAGUCAGAGCCCGUUAACGGGUGAUGGCGUGCCUCUUGUAG
rnacentral:rRNA from 2 species